AGCUCUUCCGGCACCUGCUCUUCAGGCACCUGCCCUGUGCUGGCCCCUCCUGCAACAAUCGGGUAAGGGGACCCAGGACCACAGGGAGGCUCCAGGGAGCCCCGUGGGUGCCUCCAGCAGCCGUCGGGGGUCUCUGUCCCUCACACCUCAUCUGUGAGGGUCCCUUGGCAAGGCAGCCCCUCCCGCUUGCCCAGGGUGGCAGGCCGGCUGCCCGCAUGCAGAGGCUGCUGGGAGGGUCCCCUCAUGCUCUCCCCUCCCCGUCCCCUGCCUACCCAGCCAGGGCUCUCGCUCCCAGCAGCCAACGGUACAGCCCGCCUCGGUCUCUGGGGUGCUAGAUACACUCUGCCUGGAGCCCAGGUACUGGAACCUCUGUGCCUGGGCCAUGGGGGGCAGGUUAAGGGAGGCCCUGCCCCUGGAGCGCAGGAGCCCUCACCUCAGUCGGCGCUGCAGAACCAGCCCAGGAGAGCAGCUGGCCUGUCAUCUGCUGAGGAGCGGAGGCGUGCGGGGAUCCGGAGGGGAAGGGGGUCUGGAGUGCUCCGGGGGAGACCCUCAGGGACUGCCCUGCUGCUGGCAGCGCCUGGGCCCACGGCUGAUGGAGGCGUCUCCUGGCCCCCAGGGCUGUGCCCAGGACUGCAAUGGCCUCCCACACUACCUCACUACCCUGGUCCAGGCUCACUGACAGAUGAGGAAACUGAGGCAGGGGCCCCGGUCUCACGGCCAUUGGUGCAGAGCUGGGAUCCACGACCAGAUUCUACCAAUUAAAAAAAGGAAAUGUGGGCCGGGCGUGGUGGCUCAUGCCUGUGAUCCCAGCACUUUGGGAGGCCGAGGCAGGUGGAUCACCCAAGGUCAGGAGUUCAAGAGCAGCCUGGCCAACAGGGUGAAAUCCCAUCUCUCCUAAAAAAACAAAACAAAACAAAACAAAACAAAACAAAAACAGAAUUAGCCGGGCAUGGUGGUGGGCACCUGUAGUCCCAGCUACUGGGGAGGCUGAGGCAGAAGAAUCACAUAAACCCAGGAGGCCGGAGGUUCCAACGAACUAGGAUCGCACCACUGCACUCCAGCCUGGGCAACAAAGUGAGACUCUGUCUCAAAAAAAAAAAAAAAAAGAAAAAAAAAGGAAAAGAGAAAGAAAAAGAAAAAAAGUGACAAUUCACAUAGACCCCUGAAAACCUCUGGGCUUAGGGACAGCAAGAGCCUUCCUGGGGCCUCCUGGACCAUGUCAGGGCCUCCGAGGCCUCUGGGACGCCAUCCCUGCUCAGCUUCCUCACUCUCCUUUUGCCCGAGAACAAGCUCUGUUCUGGCCACGGCGUUGUCUACACAACACAGCUAACUGCUUUGCCAUCAGCCCUCAUACAGAUUUAAAACACACACACACACACACACAAAAGAUAAGGUUAUGGGCUGCACUGCGUCCCCCAAAUUCACAGAGUGAAGUCCCGACUUCAGGAUCCGCCUGUAUUCAGACACAGGGUCUUUACAGAGGCGACAAAGGUGAAACAAGGUUACCAGGGUGGGCUCUGACCUGACCUACCGGCGUCCUUAAAAGAGGAGGACACAGACACGCAGGAGGGGCGGCCACGCAAGGACACAGGGAGGUGGUGCCGCCUGCCUGCAAGGAGAGGCCUCGUAACAGCCACGCCGCACCUCAACCCGGGACGCCCCCAGGACUGGAGAGAACCCACAUCUGCUGUGGGAGCACCUGGCCACGGUGUGUGCGAGGCGGCCCCGGCAAACUCACGUAGACAGGACCCAGCUCCCCCAGGCCAUCUUUCAAUGGGAGAGGGUGACCCAGUGUUUUCCCAAAACCCAGCACGGUCCCCAGGACGCGUUCCCCACCAGGGUGGGCUGGGCCGGAUCACAGCCCAGGCUCCCAGAGACUUCCGGUGCCACAUCAGCUCACAGAGCUUCCUGUUUCAGCCCAGAUCAGAAACACCAUGAGACGCCCAAGGAGGAAUAUUUUAAUACUUCUGCUAUUGGCCUCACCCAAAACCAGAAAGUGCAGGGAGUCGUGAAAAUGAAGAAAAUGAUCAGAACCUGAGGGACCAGGCCGUGCCAUCCGAAGACAAUCCUGAGAUCUCUCUCCGGGCCCUGCCCUGCCCCUCCCUCUCUGCCCCCAGCAGGAGCCCCCUUUUCCCCUGGGGCCAAGAACCCAGGCCACACAGGGUGCAGAAGACCCGCCAGGGAGGCCACAGCAGGGGACAGAAAAGAAGGCCCGUCGCUGGCAUGAGGGGUGGCUUCCAUGUGGGGAAACUGAGUCAGUAGCAAUUCCAGAUUGGAGGUCCUAACCAGGUCAGGUAUGCGGGCACCGCACCGUCAGCCAAGACCACAGCCCCACCUCCUCAACAGCUGGGCCCACGCCAUCGGGGGGGCGUUCCAAGAGACUUAAAAAAACCAUAACCCAACCCCGAGGAGGUGCCCUCUGAGGUGGGGUGUCCCAUACUAGAGUCAGGGUGACCUGAGGACAGGCCAGGCACACAGGGCCACCCUGAGUAAAGACGGGGGACCCAGGAGGGCCUGGGACUAGCCAGGAUGGUGGCUGCUGUGUUGAGAGGGCAUCUGGGACCCCAACCCGCAGCCCCUCGUCUCCUUAUGAGCCAUGGGGCCUCAGGAAAUGCACCCCAUUUCGUGCCUCAGUUUCCCUCCUGGGCUGAACUGUGUCCCCCACAGCCAUGUGUUGAGGUCCUGACCCCAGACCUGUGAGUGUGACCUUAUUUGGAGGCAGGGUCUGCACAGAGGUAACGAGGUUAAAGCAAGGUCAGCUGGGUGGGCCCUGACCCACCCAGACACACAGAGAGAGAACAGGCCACAUGACACGGGGCCGAGGCCGUGGCAGUGCUUCCGCCAGCCAAGAAGCACGGAAGACCUCAGGCCACAAAGCCAGGAGCGGCCUGGGACAGACCCCACUCACGGCCUCGGGGGCCAGCCCUGCUCACACCUUGACCUUGGACU
rnacentral:lncRNA from 1 species